CAGUAGCCGCGGUAAUACAGAGGGUGCGAGCGUUAAUCGGAUUUACUGGGCGUAAAGCGUGCGUAGGCGGCUUUUUAAGUCGGAUGUGAAAUCCCUGAGCUUAACUUAGGAAUUGCAUUCGAUACUGGGAAGCUAGAGUAUGGGAGAGGAUGGUAGAAUUCCAGGUGUAGCGGUGAAAUGCGUAGAGAUCUGGAGGAAUACCGAUGGCGAAGGCAGCCAUCUGGCCUAAUACUGACGCUGAGGUACGAAAGCAUGGGGAGCAAACAGGAUUAGAUACCCCAGUAGUCCCUGUCUCUUAUAC
rnacentral:rRNA from 1 species